UACGUAGGGGGGCAAGCGUUGUCCGGAUUUUACUGGGCGUAAAGAGCGUGUAGGCGGCCAAGCAGGUCCGUUGUGAAAACUGGAGGCUUAACCUCCAGACGUCGACGGAAACCGCGUGGCUAGAGUCCGGAAGAGGUGGGUGGAAUUCCUAGUGUAGAGGUGAAAUUCGUAGAUAUUAGGAAGGAACACCGGUGGCGAAGGCGGCCCACUGGUCCGGUACUGACGGCUGGAGGUGCGAAAGCGUGGGGAGCAAACAGG
rnacentral:rRNA from 1 species